GGAUGUUCGUCUGGAGAAGGACCAGGUUCUGAGGAAAUGAAAUCAGACCUGAAAUUAGUACCCCUGCAGGGCUGACCAGUCACGUGGGCCAACACGUUCCAGUUUGUGGUAAGAGGUUGGAGAAGGGCUUUCAAUAACUUGCAAACAAGAGUCCUUGAUAGCUACAAUGUGUGCCAGGAGGUUCGGACCUGUGAUUUUCCAUGUGAUGGAUCUGGACCAAGAAAUACCCCAGGACAAAGAAACGCUCUCCUGUGGAUCCACCAAUUGCCUUGUAAGCAUCAUGGGGUGUCAAAGCAAAAUGUGUACAGAUGGGAGCAGUUUCUGGAGGCUGGUUCCACCCUUUGCCUAGGAGACCUCAGGAAGAUGCAACCCUUGGAAAGUCUCCUGAUUUCAGUUGCUGUCUUUGGAAUCAAGUCUCCUUGGAGUGGUCUUGCAGCCAGGGCCCUGGACACACACCUUCAUGGAAGCUACAAGGGAGGCUGAGGUUUGAUUGGAGUCUCUUGGAGAGGUGGAACACACAAGGCUGGCAGUAUUUCAAACAUAACAAAAGCAUUAACAGAAGCGGAGAAACCAGAAAACAGCGUUGAUGUUCACAACACCCGGUGUCGGGUGUCCUGGAGUUGUGGUGGUACGGAAGGUCAGGCAGAUCUGGGCUCGGAUUCUGGCUUUGCUGUUGCUACCAGCUGUGAGGCCUGAGGGGAGUCACUUAAACUCUCAAAACCUCAUGACAUCUCCUGCCUCCUGGGGUAGAUAAGAGGAUUAAUUUCAUUUCCUGGAAACAGUAGCAUCCAAUAGAAUAUUGUGUGUACUUACUAUGCACCCAAUAAAUAGUAGCCCUUCGCAUUACCAGCUUUCAGGCUCUUUCAUAGAUAUUUUCUCCUUAGCAGGAUAAGGAGGAGUGGGGCACAAGGAGAAGAAAUAUUGCCUAAUAUUUGAGCAACAACUCACAUUAGGAUGUGCUUCUGAACUCUGACCCUGGGUCUAUCUCCUAUCCUAGUUCCUAGACCUCAUCACCUCCUUGUGUAAUCAAAAGGGGCAGGUGACUUUCUGCCAUGGAGGACUUCAGUGAGAAAGCCCUCACCAGAUGGGUCCCUUGACCUGGACCUUCUGAGCCUCAAGAACUCUGGGAAAAGAAAUCUCUGUUCUUUAUAAGUUACUCAGUAUCAGAUACUCAGUUAUAGCAGCACAACACAGGCUAA